CCUCCCGCCCGGCUUAGAGGACAGCGGGGAAGGCGGGUGGUGGGGCCGGGGGCCUGAAGCGGCGGUACCCGCACAGGUGGCGGCAGCCGAGGCCUUGGCCGAAGCCGCGCGAACCUCAGGUCAAGAUGCUGGGAACCGGACCUACCACCGCCACCACAGCCACCACCACGUCCAGCAACGUGAGCGUCCUGCAGCAGUUUGCCAGCGGCCUGAAGAGCCGGAAUGAGGAGACCAGGGCCAAAGCUGCCAAGGAGCUCCAGCACUAUGUCACCAUGGAGCUUCGAGAGAUGAGUCAAGAGGAGUCUACUCGCUUCUAUGAUCAGCUGAACCAUCACAUUUUUGAACUGGUUUCCAGCUCGGAUGCCAAUGAAAGGAAAGGUGGCAUCUUGGCCAUAGCCAGCCUCAUAGGAGUGGAAGGCGGGAAUGCCACCCGUAUCGGCAGAUUUGCUAACUAUCUUCGGAACCUCCUCCCCUCUAAUGACCCAGUUGUCAUGGAGAUGGCAUCCAAGGCCAUUGGCCGCCUUGCCAUGGCAGGCGACACUUUCACAGCUGAGUAUGUGGAGUUCGAGGUGAAGCGAGCCUUGGAGUGGCUGGGCGCCGACCGCAACGAGGGCCGGAGACACGCAGCCGUUCUGGUUCUCCGCGAGCUGGCUAUCAGCGUCCCCACCUUCUUCUUCCAGCAAGUGCAGCCCUUCUUUGACACCAUUUUUGUGGCCGUGUGGGACCCCAAACAGGCCAUCCGGGAGGGAGCUGUGGCCGCCCUUCGUGCCUGUUUGAUCCUCACCACCCAGCGUGAGCCGAAGGAGAUGCAGAAGCCUCAGUGGUACAGGCACACGUUUGAAGAAGCAGAGAAGGGGUUUGAUGAGACGUUGGCCAAGGAGAAGGGCAUGAAUCGGGAUGAUCGCAUCCAUGGAGCCUUGCUGAUCCUCAACGAGUUGGUCCGAAUCAGCAGCAUGGAGGGAGAGCGCCUGAGAGAAGAAAUGGAAGAAAUCACGCAGCAGCAGCUGGUCCAUGACAAAUACUGCAAAGACCUCAUGGGCUUCGGGACGAAACCUCGCCACAUCACCCCCUUCACCAGCUUCCAGGCUGGCCAGCCCCCGCAGUCCAACGCCUUGGUGGGACUGCUGGGGUACAGCUCUCACCAAGGCCUCAUGGGCUUCGGGGCUUCCCCCAGCCCAGCGAAGUCCACGCUGGUGGAGAGCCGGUGUUGCAGAGACCUGAUGGAGGAGAAAUUCGAUCAGGUGUGCCAGUGGGUGCUGAAAUGCAGGAAUAGCAAGAACUCGCUGAUCCAAAUGACAAUCCUUAAUUUGUUGCCCCGCUUGGCUGCAUUUCGACCUUCUGCCUUCACAGAUACCCAGUACCUCCAAGAUACCAUGAACCACGUCUUGAGCUGUGUCAAGAAGGAGAAGGAACGGACAGCAGCCUUCCAAGCCCUGGGGCUCCUUUCUGUGGCUGUGAGAUCUGAGUUCAAGGUCUAUUUGCCUCGUGUGCUGGACAUCAUCCGAGCAGCCCUACCCCCAAAGGACUUUGCCCAUAAGAGACAGAAGGCAAUGCAGGUGGAUGCCACAGUGUUCACCUGCAUCAGCAUGCUGGCCCGGGCAAUGGGGCCAGGCAUCCAGCAGGAUAUCAAGGAGCUGCUGGAGCCCAUGCUGGCAGUGGGACUGAGCCCUGCCCUCACUGCUGUGCUGUACGACCUGAGCCGUCAGAUCCCACAGCUGAAGAAGGACAUCCAGGAUGGGCUACUGAAGAUGCUGUCCCUGGUCCUUAUGCACAAACCCCUCCGGCACCCGGGCAUGCCCAAGGGCCUGGCCCAUCAGCUGGCUUCCCCUGGCCUCACAGCCCUCCCUGAGGCCAGCGACGUGGGCAGCAUUACUCUUGCCCUGCGAACUCUCGGCAGCUUUGAGUUUGAAGGCCACUCUCUGACCCAGUUUGUCCGCCACUGUGCGGAUCAUUUCCUAAACAGCGAGCACAAGGAGAUCCGCAUGGAAGCCGCCCGCACCUGCUCCCGCCUGCUCACGCCCUCCGUCCACCUCAUCAGCGGGCACGCGCACGUCGUUAGCCAGACUGCGGUGCAAGUGGUGGCAGACGUGCUCAGCAAACUGCUCGUGGUCGGGAUCACAGAUCCUGACCCCGACAUCCGCUACUGCGUCUUGGCAUCUCUGGAUGAGCGCUUUGAUGCACACCUGGCCCAGGCAGAGAACUUGCAGGCCCUGUUUGUGGCCCUGAACGACCAGGUGUUUGAGAUCCGGGAGCUGGCCAUCUGCACGGUGGGCCGGCUCAGUAGCAUGAACCCGGCCUUCGUCAUGCCCUUCCUGCGCAAGAUGCUCAUCCAGAUUCUGACAGAGCUGGAGCACAGCGGCAUCGGGAGAAUCAAAGAACAGAGUGCCCGCAUGCUGGGCCACUUGGUCUCCAAUGCCCCCCGGCUCAUCCGCCCCUACAUGGAGCCCAUUCUGAAGGCUUUAAUAUUGAAACUGAAAGAUCCAGACCCUGAUCCAAACCCAGGUGUGAUCAAUAAUGUCUUGGCCACAAUAGGAGAGUUGGCUCAGGUCAGUGGCCUAGAAAUGAGGAAAUGGGUUGAUGAACUCUUUAUUAUCAUCAUGGACAUGCUCCAGGACUCCUCCCUGUUGGCCAAAAGGCAGGUGGCUCUGUGGACCCUGGGACAGUUGGUGGCCAGCACUGGCUAUGUGGUGGAGCCCUACAGGAAGUACCCCACUUUGCUUGAGGUCCUGCUGAAUUUUCUGAAGACUGAGCAGAACCAGGGUACACGGAGAGAGGCUAUCCGUGUGUUAGGACUUUUGGGGGCCCUGGAUCCCUACAAGCACAAAGUGAACAUUGGCAUGAUUGACCAGUCCCGCGACGCUUCUGCUGUUAGCCUGUCAGAAUCCAAGUCAAGUCAGGAUUCCUCUGACUACAGCACCAGCGAGAUGCUGGUCAACAUGGGCAACCUGCCCCUGGACGAGUUCUACCCCGCCGUGUCCAUGGUGGCGCUGAUGCGGAUCUUCCGGGACCAGUCCCUCUCGCACCAUCACACCAUGGUAGUCCAGGCCAUCACCUUCAUCUUCAAGUCCCUGGGCCUCAAGUGUGUGCAGUUCCUGCCCCAGGUCAUGCCCACGUUCCUCAACGUCAUUCGCGUCUGUGACGGGGCCAUCCGGGAGUUUCUGUUCCAGCAGCUGGGGAUGCUGGUGUCCUUUGUGAAGAGCCACAUCAGACCUUACAUGGAUGAAAUAGUCACCCUCAUGAGAGAAUUCUGGGUCAUGAACACCUCGAUCCAGAGCACGAUCAUUCUUCUCAUUGAGCAAAUCGUGGUAGCUCUUGGGGGCGAAUUUAAGCUCUAUCUGCCUCAGCUGAUCCCACACAUGCUACGUGUCUUCAUGCAUGACAACAGCCCAGGCCGCAUUGUCUCCAUCAAGCUGCUGGCUGCCAUCCAGCUGUUCGGCGCCAACCUGGACGACUAUUUGCACUUGCUGUUGCCUCCUAUCGUGAAGCUGUUUGAUGCCCCUGAAGUCCCCCUGCCGUCCCGCAAGGCAGCGUUAGAGACGGUAGACCGCCUCACAGAGUCCUUGGACUUCACUGACUACGCCUCCCGGAUCAUUCACCCGAUCGUUCGAACCCUGGACCAGAGCCCGGAACUGCGUCCCACCGCCAUGGACACGUUGUCUUCGCUUGUCUUUCAGCUGGGGAAGAAGUACCAAAUUUUCAUUCCAAUGGUGAAUAAAGUCCUGGUACGACACCGAAUCAACCAUCAGCGCUAUGACGUCCUCAUCUGCAGAAUCGUCAAGGGAUACACCCUUGCUGAUGAAGAAGAGGACCCUUUGAUUUACCAGCAUCGAAUGCUGAGGAGUGGCCAAGGGGAUGCGUUGGCCAGUGGGCCGGUAGAAACAGGACCCAUGAAGAAACUGCAUGUCAGCACCAUCAACCUUCAAAAGGCCUGGGGAGCCGCCAGAAGGGUGUCCAAGGACGACUGGCUAGAAUGGCUGAGGCGGCUGAGCCUGGAGCUCCUGAAGGACUCGUCUUCACCUUCCCUGCGCUCGUGCUGGGCCCUGGCUCAGGCCUACAACCCGAUGGCCAGGGAUCUUUUCAACGCCGCGUUUGUGUCCUGCUGGUCUGAACUGAACGAAGACCAGCAGGAUGAACUCAUCAGGAGCAUCGAGCUGGCCCUCACCUCGCAGGACAUCGCCGAAGUCACGCAAACUCUCUUAAACUUGGCUGAAUUCAUGGAACACAGUGACAAGGGCCCCCUGCCACUGAGAGACGACAACGGCAUCGUCCUGCUGGGCGAGAGGGCCGCCAAGUGCCGAGCAUAUGCCAAAGCACUACACUACAAAGAGCUGGAGUUCCAGAAAGGUCCCACCCCUGCCAUCCUAGAGUCUCUCAUCAGCAUUAAUAAUAAGCUACAACAGCCAGAGGCAGCUGCCGGGGUAUUAGAAUAUGCCAUGAAACACUUCGGAGAGCUGGAGAUCCAGGCCACCUGGUACGAGAAGCUGCACGAGUGGGAGGAUGCGCUCGUGGCCUACGACAAGAAGAUGGACACCAACAAGGACGACCCAGAGCUCAUGCUGGGUCGCAUGCGCUGCCUCGAGGCCUUGGGGGAAUGGGGGCAGCUCCACCAGCAGUGCUGUGAGAAGUGGACCCUGGUUAACGAUGAGACCCAAGCCAAGAUGGCCCGGAUGGCCGCUGCAGCUGCCUGGGGCUUAGGUCAGUGGGACAGCAUGGAGGAAUAUACCUGUAUGAUCCCUCGGGACACCCACGAUGGGGCAUUUUAUAGAGCUGUGCUGGCACUACAUCAGGACCUCUUCUCCUUGGCGCAACAGUGUAUCGACAAAGCCAGGGACCUGCUGGAUGCAGAGCUAACUGCUAUGGCAGGAGAGAGCUACAGUCGGGCAUAUGGGGCCAUGGUUUCUUGCCACAUGCUCUCCGAGCUGGAGGAGGUUAUCCAGUACAAACUCGUCCCCGAGCGACGGGAGAUCAUCCGCCAGAUCUGGUGGGAGAGACUGCAGGGCUGCCAGCGCAUCGUGGAGGACUGGCAGAAAAUCCUGAUGGUGCGCUCCCUCGUGGUCAGCCCCCACGAGGACAUGAGGACCUGGCUCAAGUAUGCCAGCCUGUGUGGCAAGAGUGGCAGGCUGGCUCUUGCUCAUAAGACCUUGGUGUUGCUCCUGGGAGUUGAUCCGUCUCGGCAACUUGACCAUCCUCUGCCAACAGUUCACCCUCAGGUGACCUACGCCUACAUGAAAAACAUGUGGAAGAGUGCUCGCAAGAUCGAUGCCUUCCAGCACAUGCAGCACUUUGUGCAGACCAUGCAGCAGCAGGCCCAGCACGCCAUCGCCAGCGAGGACCAGCAGCACAAGCAGGAGCUGCACAAGCUUAUGGCCAGGUGUUUCCUGAAACUCGGGGAGUGGCAGCUGAACCUGCAGGGCAUCAAUGAGAGCACCAUCCCCAAAGUGCUGCAGUACUACAGCGCCGCCACGGAGCACGACCGCGGCUGGUACAAGGCCUGGCACGCGUGGGCAGUGAUGAACUUCGAAGCUGUGCUGCAUUACAAACAUCAGAACCAAGCCCGCGACGAGAAGAAGAAGCUGCGUCACGCCAGCGGGGCCAACGUCACCAGCACGACCACUGCUGCCACCACAGCGGCCACCGCCACCGCCACGGCCACCAGCACCGAGGGCAGCAACAGCGAGAGUGAGGCCGAGAGCACCGAGAACAGCCCCACCCCGUCCCCUCUGCAGAAGAAGGUCACUGAGGAUUUGUCCAAAACCCUCUUGAUGUACACCGUCCCUGCCGUCCAGGGCUUCUUCCGUUCUAUCUCCUUGUCGCGAGGCAACAACCUCCAGGACACGCUGAGAGUCCUCACCCUGUGGUUUGAUUACGGUCACUGGCCGGACGUAAACGAAGCCUUGGUGGAGGGGGUGAAGGCGAUCCAGAUUGACACGUGGUUACAGGUCAUACCUCAGCUCAUUGCAAGAAUUGAUACGCCCAGGCCCUUGGUGGGACGCCUCAUCCACCAGCUUCUCACCGACAUUGGCCGGUACCACCCCCAGGCCCUCAUCUAUCCCCUGACCGUGGCCUCCAAGUCCACCACCACGGCCCGCCACAACGCAGCCAACAAGAUUCUGAAGAACAUGUGUGAGCACAGUAACACCCUGGUCCAGCAGGCCAUGAUGGUGAGUGAGGAACUGAUCCGCGUGGCCAUCCUCUGGCACGAGAUGUGGCACGAAGGCCUGGAAGAAGCGUCUCGUUUAUACUUUGGGGAGAGGAACGUGAAAGGCAUGUUUGAGGUGUUGGAGCCCCUGCAUGCUAUGAUGGAACGGGGCCCCCAGACUCUGAAGGAAACGUCUUUUAAUCAGGCAUAUGGGCGAGACUUAAUGGAGGCCCAAGAGUGGUGCAGGAAGUACAUGAAAUCGGGAAACGUGAAGGACCUCACUCAAGCCUGGGACCUCUACUAUCACGUGUUCAGACGAAUCUCAAAGCAGCUGCCUCAGCUCACAUCCUUAGAACUGCAGUAUGUUUCCCCCAAACUUCUGAUGUGCCGGGACCUUGAAUUGGCCGUGCCGGGAACAUACGACCCCCACCAGCCGAUCAUCCGCAUUCAGUCCAUAGCGCCGUCUCUACAGGUCAUCACCUCCAAGCAGCGGCCCCGGAAGUUGACCCUCAUGGGCAGCAACGGGCAUGAGUUUGUUUUCCUCCUGAAGGGCCACGAGGACCUGCGGCAGGACGAGCGAGUGAUGCAGCUCUUCGGCCUGGUGAACACCCUCCUGGCCAACGACCCCACGUCUCUUCGCAAGAACCUCAGCAUCCAGAGAUACGCCGUCAUCCCCUUAUCAACCAACUCGGGCCUCAUCGGCUGGGUCCCCCACUGCGACACGCUGCACGCCCUCAUCCGGGACUACAGAGAGAAAAAGAAGAUCCUUCUCAACAUCGAGCAUCGCAUCAUGUUGCGGAUGGCUCCGGACUACGACCAUCUGACGCUGAUGCAGAAGGUGGAGGUGUUCGAGCACGCCGUCAAUAACACGGCCGGGGAUGACCUGGCCAAGCUGCUAUGGCUGAAAAGCCCCAGCUCCGAGGUGUGGUUUGACCGAAGAACCAACUACACCCGCUCUUUAGCGGUCAUGUCCAUGGUCGGGUAUAUUUUGGGCCUAGGAGAUAGACACCCAUCCAACUUAAUGCUGGACCGGCUGAGCGGGAAGAUCCUGCACAUUGACUUUGGGGACUGCUUUGAGGUUGCUAUGACCAGGGAGAAAUUCCCAGAGAAGAUUCCAUUUAGACUAACCAGAAUGCUGACCAAUGCUAUGGAGGUUACUGGUCUGGAUGGCAACUAUAGAAUCACGUGCCACACAGUGAUGGAAGUGCUUCGGGAACACAAGGAUAGUGUCAUGGCCGUGCUGGAAGCCUUUGUCUAUGACCCCUUGCUGAACUGGAGGCUGAUGGACACAAAUACCAAAGGCAACAAGCGGUCCCGAACAAGGACAGAUUCCUACUCUGCUGGCCAGUCAGUAGAAAUUUUGAUCAAACUUUCCAGUCUUAAUCUAUCUGUAAACACAAUUGAAAGUAUGUCUGAAUAUUAGCCAGUAUAUGCCCUUGAACGCUGUCUGGAUUGGGAUAAUUAUUAGCUGUGUCCACGGGCCUAGAGAAUUGUUAGUAGCUUGGAAAUAGCAGCGGACGCGUAUUCACACUGUCGCCUGAGGAAAACCACAGGAAGUGUACUCACGGGAAGUGUAUUCGCACUGCGGGCUGAGGACCCAGGAAGCUACUGGAAGUGUACUCACACUGCUGUCUGAGGGGCGGGGAAGCCACAGGAAACACUGCUGUCAAGAGUGGGUCCACAGAACAGGGUCCCUGGAAGAUAAUGCCCUUCAAGAGCCAGAACGGGGUUCGUGUGAACCUCUCAAAAGUCUUAAGAGUAAAGCGGGUUAACUUUGUUUCACCUUCCCCGUCCCUCCUCCCCAGUUUCCCCCGUAACAUCUAACAACAUCCUACAUAGUCGCACCUUGGAAAUACUGUUGGGGUGUAAAAAAAGGUAAAUAUUCUCUACAAAUACCUAUGGAACAUUUGCAACUUGUUACUUAGCUAAGCCAAAUAAUGUUUAAGGGUGCAAAAAGAAUGUGACAUACAGAGAUUACCUGAAAGAAGCAUAGAAUCACAUCACAGAAUCGAUCAACAUGUAUAGUCCACGAACUGAUCAGAGAACUGUCAUUCCCCCCCCCCCCCACCCCCGCCGUGUGGUCCCGCAGCUCACGGUUUGCAGUUUGGUUCAGAGGAGAGGCUGUGGGGCUGAGAGCAAGGACCUACCACUCUGAACUGAGCAGUCGAGAAGGGAGGUCCCGGGUCAGUGCGAUUUAGGCUGGCCAUUUCAGACGAGUGGGAGGGAAGAGGGUGUUCUGGGCAGGACAUUGAGGUCCUGGGCUAUGGUGCAAUCUGUGAACCGGUGCGGACUCUACCGCGGACACUGCGACAGGAUUUGUGAAUGAUGCCAGGAUUACCUGCGGUGUCUGGGAUACUUUGUGCGGGUGACUGGUCUUGUCCAAGGUAUGUGAGACUUUCGUGCUCAGGGUCCACCUCGUUCGUACAUUAUCGCGUGACUCCUCUGUGCUGCCUACGGGGAAUUAGGACAGCUGGUUCCGGUGGCACCAGAGAGUGGUGGACCUGGCUGGUGUCAUGGGGCUUAAAAGUGAAGUUUCAUAGAAGUAUUACGACUACUCGCUUCAUUUUGAAGGCCUGUGGUGUGCAAGGGCAACGUGCAAAUAACCUCAUACUCCUGCUUCCAGACUCUUUUCUCCUGAAGGCCACAAUUGGUGGAGAGUGACCCUAAAGCCUGAGGACUUUUUCUGCCCAGAAAUGGCAUAUAGAUUCCUCCAAAGAAUAACACUCGGGUCAUGAGCGUGACCCAGGGAAGGCUCGUGUUUUUUCUAGCAUCAGAUUUUGUCGAGCCAAACAGGUCUUAUCAACAGGGCUUUCAUUCCCGCUCCUGUUCUCUACGUCAGAACAUCUUAUAAAGGCCGUUUGCUUGAAAGUUCGUGUUUGGAGACGUAAGAUCUUUCAAAUCCAUAGUGACCCUUCUUCCUCUCCUUUCCCCUCAGAGGUAGCAGGGCGAGCUUGAAAGGGGAGGUGGUGUGUGGAGAAGUAGAGCUAACACUUGAAACAGUGGUUUCUUGGUGGUGGAAUGUUCUGCCAGUCGAUUCUUUUUCCUCCUAGAAAUUUUGGACGGUGUGGAGCUUGGGGAACCCGCGCAUAAGAAAACAGGGACCACGGUGCCAGAGUCCAUUCAUUCCUUCAUUGGAGACGGUUUGGUGAAACCAGAGGCCCUAAAUAAGAAAGC